rnacentral:lncRNA from 1 species
UAUUAAACAAAUUAGAAGAAAAUUAUACAAAAAUGACCCCCAACUGAACACAAGUUAAGUUUUCUCGCUGUGUGUAACAACAUACAGUAUAUAUGACAACGUAAUGCAACGUCUAAAGAAAGGUUUAAACAAGCUAAAGGUAUCCUUAGAGAAUUAUGGAGAUGGGCAAAAUCAACCUUUUUCAAUUGAACUAAUUAAUUAAACAAAACAUAUGUAAUGCAAAAAAAAAAAAAAAGGAAUAUUACUGUAUCUAUUAUGUAGAGAAAAUAUAUAAUUCGGUAGCUCAAAUCGAAGCGACAUCAUUUAAGAAUGUAAAAUUGUAAAUGAUGAUGGAUGGGCUCAGAAAGGCCUAUGGAACAUCAUUGACAAUAAGCCCAUCUCGCCCA